GGAAUCUUCCACAAUGGGCGAAAGCCUGAUGGAGCAACGCCGCGUGUGUGAUGAAGGCUUUCGGGUCGUAAGGCACUGUUGUAUGGGAAGAACAGCUAGAAUAAGAAAUGAUUUUAGUUUGACGGUACCAUACCAGAAAGGGACGGCUAAAUACGUGCCAG
rnacentral:rRNA from 1 species